CUUCAGCUUCUCCAACAGAGAGACAGAAAGAAGGGUUGCAGCCAUUUUCUACUACACUGGACCUCAAUGGCCAAAAUGGGUUUCCUUUGUUCUUAAAAGGGAUCUAAAGCUUCAUUUCAUCACCUUUUUUAUGGACUAUCACACAUUACAGUCUUCUCUCUGUGUACAGGAUUUGAGAAGAAGGAAGAAAUGUUGGACCAUAUCCCUUUGACAUUUUUUAAACUUGUUCUUUUUUUUUUCCUACCUCUCUCUCUCUCUCUCACUCUGUCUUUUUCCAGGAAUCCAUCUUUGUCCUGGCAAACUAGGUCACGGCACACCCAUAUAACAGCAUUUUGUUUCUAAAGUGAAAUGCUACUGAAUAAAACAGCUGAGUGUAUAACUAACUGCUUUAGCAAUGUUUUAAAGAGAGAAAAAAGAGAAAAGAAAUACACAUGAAAACUGAUCAGCUGCUUUUGCAGGCCCUACACUGUGCAAGGCCAAGUAUGAAUGUGCCAUUGAGUAAGUUUAUCUUUAUUGUCUUUGCUUAUGUAUAAAGGUUGAAUGUCUUAUAUAUAAUUAAACUUUGGUAUUUUUAUGUGGAUUGGCUGAGUAUUAUUAUUAUUAGUAGUAUUACUAUUAUUAUUAUUUAAUUCUAUCUGGUCCCCCAUGGCACUGUGUGUGUGUGAGAGAGGGAGACGGCUUUUUCUAUAUUCAGUACAUUCAGCUGCAUGCUGUUUUAUCCAUUUUUAAAUUGAUUGUUUCUCACGUUUCAGAAAACACGGCAGGCCAGAGAGAGAAAGAGAGAGAGAGAGAGAGAGAGAGAAAAUAAAGGACGAUUGGCCUUUUUGCAAAAAUGCUGAAUCACAGGAAUAGUUGGUAGGUUAAUAUGGUGGUUGUUGGUACUAAAACCUUUCAGCUUUCACAGAAAACAGUGGGUCAUCAACCAGACCCCACAAUUUAUCAGUCAGCAGGACAUUUCACAGCAAAAUAAGCCACGACUUAGUGCUGAAAGUACAGUUAAAUGUUAUAUCAAACGUACAGUUCUCUUCCUAAAGCAUGAGCAUUAUUAAGUAUGCAGUGUAAGCCUAGUUGACCUUGUGUCAAGGACACGUUUUCAUAUCUGUAGUUUUUUCUUUUUUUUAUCCCAACAGCACAUCAUUUAGAUAGAUUUUUUUCUUCUCCUUUUUUUUUGAAGAAUGGACAACAAGCACAGAAUCGGUGGAGAUAUGAAAUAUUUACCUUCACAUUUUUGCUGAAAUAUUUUUAUCAGGCCUAAAGGCAGAAGAAAGAGGGACGUUUUCAUUCCCAUCGCCGGAUCCUUUAAACUCCUUUAAGGCUUUUUUCCCCCUUUUUUACAGUUUUAACUCCUGAGGAGCACAAACAAGAGUGCAAACCUUCACUACAUCGUCAGUUUUUCCUGCUUUCGGUCUUUUUUAAAAGAGCUUUGCACCUGUGAGGAGUGAAACUGCUGCAAAUCUUCAGCAGAUUUAGUUUUAGAGAAUAUGCAAACCAUCCCCCCUCUCUCCCUCUCUCUGUCUCUCUCUCUCCCUCUUCCUCAAGCAUUCGCUCUUCAUUUUUACUCAGCAGGAGAAAGACAAGAACUGUAGGUUUCCAUCUGCGGACUGCCUUUAUUUAUAAGGUGCGUGCUGUUUAAUGGCGGAUCUGCUGUGCUGCUGCAAAAUGGCUCCUUCCCUCUGAGAACAACACCACACACACACACACCCAGACACACAUCCUCAGAGCUCACACACACAGCCUGCGCAGAAGAUUCACAGUGAAUGUUAAUGUAAAUCCAUAUUUAUGGACAUAUACACGAA